rnacentral:rRNA from 1 species
ACAGCAGUCGCCACGGGAAUACGUAGGUGGCAAGCGUUGUCCGGAAUUAUUGGGCGUAAAGGGCUCGCAGGCGGUUUCUUAAGUCUGAUGUGAAAGCCCCCGGCUCAACCGGGGAGGGUCAUUGGAAACUGGGAAACUUGAGUGCAGAAGAGGAGAGUGGAAUUCCACGUGUAGCGGUGAAAUGCGUAGAGAUGUGGAGGAACACCAGUGGCGAAGGCGACUCUCUGGUCUGUAACUGACGCUGAGGAGCGAAAGCGUGGGGAGCGAACAGGAUUAGAUACCCCAGUAGUCCCUGUCUCUUAUAA